UCUGCGGUGAUGAGCUGUUAACAUGUAAGAAGAUCCCUUUUGUAGGGUUCUUUGAUGAAAUAUUCUUGUUACGCUUGGCUUCUGAGCUUU
rnacentral:snoRNA from 1 species